rnacentral:rRNA from 1 species
AAUCAACGCUGGCGGCGUGCCUAACACAUGCAAGUCGAACGCGAAAGCCCGCAAGGGUAAGUAGAGUGGCGCACGGGUGAGUAACACGUGGACAACCUGCCUUCGAGUGGGGAAUAACCUUCCGAAAGGAGGGCUAAUACCGCAUAACACCUCGGGACACAAGUUCUGGGGUUGAAAAGAGCAAUUUGCUCGAAGAGGGGUCCGCGCCUGAUUAGCUAGUUGGUGAGGUAACGGCUCACCAAGGCUUCGACCAGUAGCCGUCCUGAGAGGGAGCACGGCCACACUGGAACUGAGACACGGUCCAGACUCCUACGGGAGGCAGCAGUGGGGAAUUUUUGGCAAUGGGCGAAAGCCUGACCAAGCAACGCCGCGUGGGUGAUGAAGUAUCUUGGU